AACCGCAACCUCUCACUCACUCAACACACGCACCACUCACAAACUGUCAACGGAGGCAUACAAGUUAGGAUAUUUGAGUAUUCCUAGAGUGCCUGGGUCUACCUGGACACUGCUGAAGCUACUGGGUAAACACACAGCACUCCGGAUUAGCUCAGUGCAGCAGAACACGGUGGAUUGUGGGUAAAUGAGUUCUAUGAAUAGGGCUAAGCUCAGAUCAGUCCCUGAGUGACCCUGAGCUCCAGAACAGGUUCUAGAGGAAUAGUUACACUGAGGCUGUGUUAGUUUUGAUUGCAGCACCACGUGACCAUAGACAUGUGGUUCAAUGAUGGAGGGAUCAUCUAUUAUUACACACCUGAUUUUCUUUUCUUGAUUUUCUUUCAGAGGACAGUCACAUCCUUGCUUUCAUCCUCACUGGAGUUGCUGUUCUUGCUGUUGUUGCUGCUGCUGUUGUUGGAGUCUUUCUGUACCGGAAGAGGAACGAUUCAGACAAGCGUCACAAACCAGUUGGUUCUGACACCAGCUCUGAGAACACUGAGGGACAGAAUCCGUCUCCUGAGGCCCAACCUCUGACCACAGUUCAAAGUUAAAUCAUGAAGAGGCUUCUCACGUUCACCUUCAGACACGUGCCGUCCAUAUGGGCAGGUGGGGCAGCAAACUACUUUCAAAAGCAUCCUCCCAAAAAAAUAGUUCCUCAGUAAAUCAUGGCGAUAAGUCUAUGUUUAAUAAUGUGAAUUUCACACAAACUAUCUAUAGCUUCUGUAGGCUUUCCGACUAUUUUUGGUCUGUUGACGUUACAUUUUGGAUGAUGGUGGCGAUUCUAGUUAAGUUUGACAUGUCAUGCAAUGUGGGGCAGGAUAGCUCAGUGACUGCGUUCCUCCGUAUGUUUAUAGCAUAACCCUGCAGGCGGCAAUUAGUAUUGCAAUCCGCGCUAAAAGACGCCUUUAGGGGCGUAAAGUCGUCUGCCCCAUGGUCAUAUUCUAGAACUGUUGUUGUUUUAACUCAAAUUAUUCCACGCGUAUCUUUCGUCGUUUCUAUUUCAGAUGCGAGUGGUGUUGCACCUGGGAUUAAUAGUGUUGAGUUUCUGCUAAAAAUCUCACCUGCUGACCCAGGGACUCUCCUCUCAGCCUCAAACUCUGAGCCACCUCGCCCACUCAGCUGCUGCAUUUGCACUAAGAGAAACGCUGUGUUUUGUUUCCCAUGUCCACUUUUUCGAGCAAGUGUGUGAACAGGACAAGGGGAUAUAUGGACCACGAAUGUGAAGCAUAUAUAUAUAUAUAUAUAUAUAUAUAUAUAUAUAUAUAUAUAUAUAUAUAAUGUAUAUAGAAAUAUAAUAAUGUAUCAUACAGUAUUAUAUAUGUAUAUAAUAUAUACAUAUUACAAAAACAAAUUUUGGGUCUGGUCAUACGCCAGUAGUUUCUGCCCCACUGAAAUUUAGGAUCACCGCACGCUACUGUUCAGCGUCCUAAACCAGGAUGGAGUGCACUCAAAGUGAAACGUAACGUAAAUUGCCCCUAGGUGAAUCGUGACGUUCUCUAAUGAAGGGAAAUGUAUGACACGUUAGAUCUACCAACGAUCAACCAGUUUACUGAAAUAGGUCAAAGGUGCAUCUCAUGAAGAUAUUUGUGUAAUGUGGAUGAGAAUUUGUGGCCCAACUGACAGGAACAUGAGAGUGGUGGGAAGACUGCACUGUAAUUCCUACAGCACUGCAUGUACGGUUUACUCCAAGUUGAUUGUCCUAUGUUCACAUUUCUAAUUUGUUUUUUUCAGCAGUGCUGUCUAUUCGUUUCUGUAUCGCAAUGACAUGGUCUGUCAACAAACUACAGUACAAACAGUAAAAGCGUAAAUAUGAAUCUUGUCCAGUCUCUUGCAAUCAAUCUCCCACACACGCUAAGGGGUAACUUACAAUUUACAAUAAUUGUCAUCAGAACUUUAGCCAUAGUUUACAUCAGAACAUCCCUCCAGAGAACACUGUUAUAUUGACAACAUGACUAAGAAAUGUGACUUAUCCGUCUUUUCCGUACACAAUGACACAAGGACUUGUCAUUCUGAUGGCACUGACACGUUCAUUGACACAGAUAUUUACUUUUGAGAGAUAAACUAAGAAUUUUGAGGAACUAAGGAUUUUCGCAUAAUCCAUGGUGUUUUGCUAUUUGUACGAGUUGUUUUGAGCAAUGCACUUACUGUUUUGCAAAUGUUGAGGAAGAUUCGAGAAAUGUACUAAAGCCAGAGAAAAACGGUAAAGUCACAACCCAGAGCGGGGGCGGGGCGCGGCCCAGACGAGGAGGCGUCGCCGUCGGGCGGAGGAGGAGGUCGAGGGGUCACGGUGGGGUCAUGGAGGUCAGGUUCAGGGACCGUCGCUCUGCUGAUGCAAUAAGUAAUGAACCAGCUUAGGGGGUCACUGCAGCUGGCGACCUUUGACCCCGUGUUUAGACCUCCGCACACAACGGGGUGCAAAGGUAAAAUAAAAUGACGUUUCAACUGCACUGUGUUGUAGAAGAAAGAAAACAGUUUGCAUUAUAAACCACACUAAUGAACAUUGUCAUUUGUUCUUUAAAUUAUUAACACCAAACUAUUCAAAUAUUGUAUUUAAGCUGACAUCAAGAAUUAUUCUUAAAAUGCACAUAAUGGCACAACUUGCACUAGCUGUUAAAAUAAGUUCAAAGAACGUAUUUAAAUACACUUUUUAAUAAACCAGUCACUGCCAAAAUAAGACAACUGAUGUUUGAUGUUUAUUGCUAUACUUUUUUUUUGUGAACAGCGAGUCAGUGAGUGGGAGUCGAGUCUGGGAGAACGAACUAUAGAGACGAACAAGAGAGAACUGAAACGUGGAAUCAAGUCGGUUCGUUCUUGUUAAAGAGUCGUUCCUUCAAACUGAUUCGGUCGCAAACGACCCAUCACUAAGUGACAUCACAAGUGGGCGUGUCCACCUAGACUUUUGCUGGAUGCAGCCCUUUAAGAAAACGCACAUUCCAAGCCGCCAUAUUGGUGAAUCCCAUUUGCCCACCGUACAAUCCCAUUGCCCACCGUAUAACACACACACACAUAACAACAAUAGAGAGUGUUAAAGGAGAUGUCACCUGCAUGCAUUUUCCAAGCAGACAUGGAGUUCAUAUUUGUAUUUCUCUCCCACCUUUUCUGUCCCUCGUUUCUUUUCCCUCGGACGGUUCAACUUCACUUGGCGGUCCGCCAAAAUCUUCUGCCAAUACCUUUACUCAUGAUCACCUAAAGACAUUACAAAAAACAUCAACGCCAAAACAUAAACAUGCGAGCGGUGAGUCUUUGAAGGAACCGAUAGAUCUUUGUAUCUCUGAGGAACCGGUUCUCACCGGAGAGCAGAUCCAGCGUCCAGCCGUGUUCCUUGGCGACGGCCGAGCGGUCCUUGACGACGACCUGGGCUUCCUCGGGGGUCUUGAAGCGGAUGUGUCCUUCACUGUCUCCCUCCAGUGUGUCCACACAGGCCACCGUAGAUAUUGUAGAGAGGGCGUCCUGUAGAAAUAAGAAAAGACAGACACUGGGAUGGAAUCACGGUGCAUGUGGCUGGAGCGAACAUUUAUUGCAGUUCAUUAAAAAUGUAUCUAAUAAUUGAGAAUGAUCAGUCGUUACCAGGGCUGUAGUGGGCGGGGCACACGGGGGGACACCGGCCACACACUUUUUUCAGCAUGUUACAAAAAAAAAGAAUCUAUAAAAAAUAUAUAUAUAUUUGUUUUCACUAUGGCAGCGCCGUCUGCUCAGUGUGUGGUGACUGCAGGCCCAGCCUCUCUGUAAAGUGGUGGUAGCGUGGCGAUGUUAAGAGCUUUGGUUACUUUGGAUUUGCUCCAUCAAUGUGUUGAGUGACAUGAGUGUUUGUCUAGUCCUGUUGGUAGGCCUAUUGUUUUAAUACGUGGGGGAAUGAGAAAAGAAGCAUUAUUAUUAAACAUGUUGAUUUUUACAAUUGA